rnacentral:rRNA from 1 species
AGUGAACGCUGGCGGUAGGCCUAACACAUGCAAGUCGAACGGCAGCACAGUAAGAGCUUGCUCUUACGGGUGGCGAGUGGCGGACGGGUGAGGAAUCCAUCGGAAUCUACUUUUUCGUGGGGGAUAACGUAGGGAAACUUACGCUAAUACCGCAUACGACCUACGGGUGAAAGCAGGGGAUCUUCGGACCUUGCGCGAUUGAAUGAGCCGAUGUCGGAUUAGCUAGUUGGCGGGGUAAGGGCCCACCAAGGCGACGAUCCGUAGCUGGUCUGAGAGGAUGAUCAGCCACACUGGAACUGAGACACGGUCCAGACUCCUACGGGAGGCAGCAGUGGGGAAUAUUGGACAAUGGGCGCAAGCCUGAUCCAGCCAUACCGCGUGGGUGAAGAAGGCCUUCGGGUUGUAAAGCCCUUUUGUUGGGAAAGAAAAGCAGCAGGUUAAUACCCCGCUGUUCUGACGGUACCCAAAGAAUAAGCACCGGCUAACUUCGUG